CCGAGCGGCGGCGGCGCCAGGGCGGGCGCGCGUCCGCGGCGGUGAUGGCGGUGCGUGAACGCGCGGCGGCAGCAAUGGCCGCUCUGGAGCGGCGGGUGCCGAGUCUCGAUGACUUCGCGGGACAGAGCUGGAGCUCGUGGGUGGAGCGGGCCGACUUGCCCGCGACUGACGGGGCUGAGCUGGAGGAGAGUAGCAAAAACACGAAGAAGCUGGAUGCCAUGACCCUCAUUAAAGAAGACAUGUCCAUCUUCGGGCACUGCCCUGCCCAUGACGACUUCUAUUUGGUUGUGUGUAACCACUGCAGCCAAGUGGUGAAGCCUCAAGCUUUCCAGAAGCACUGCGAAAGAAGACAUGGGCCCCUCAGCAAGCUUUAUACCCGGGCCCCACCCCCACCUCCAGCCCCUGCCAGCUCUCAGAAAUGCCAUGUAGUGAAUGGGCAGGGCCCAGCUUGUAGGGCCCCAGGUUCCACAAAAACCUCCUCCAGGGAGAAGGGCCAGGGGUCCCGGAGCCGUGGCCACCAGCCUCCUGAGAAGACCCAGAAAGACAACCUCUGCCUUUUCGUGCCUGUGGUGAAUCUGGAGAAGAUGUCCAGUCUCCCGAAGCCUGAUGGACACGGAAUCAGGGUGGCCCCACCCUCUGCUUUUCUCAGCCAGCCAGGGGGCCUUACCAAGGACUCCCCUGGAAAACCUCCCAUGGCUCCCCCUUCUAAAGAACCUCCUGGCAGAGAGAACAUCGAGAUCAUCCCCAGUGAGGGAUCCAGUCACCGGGCUGAAGGCAGCCCUCCUGAAAAGGAGCCCAGUGGGGCCAGGCUGCCCCCCAAAACCCACCGGAAGAUGGCUCGGAAGGAGUGCGACCUCAACAGGCAGUGUGGGGUAAUAAAUCCAGAGACCAAAAAGAUCUGUACCCGCCUGCUGACCUGCAAGAUCCACUCAGUACACCAGCGUCGGGAAGUCCAGGGCCGAGCCAAGGACUUUGACGUGCUGGUGGCAGAGCUGAAGGCCAACUCCCGCAAAGGGGAGUCUCCCAAGGAGAAGAGCCCAGGGCGCAAGGAGCAAGUUCUCGAGCGCCCCUCCCAGGAGCUCCCAUCCGCAGUCCAGGUUGUGGCAGCAGUGGCUGCUCCCAGCAGCACUUUCUCUGUCCGUGCCAAGCAGACGUACCCAUACUGUGCACUGCCCAGGUCCCGGGCCUCCUCUGAGAGUGAAUUGGAUGAUGAAGGCCCCUGUGGUGGUGAUGGGGACCCAGGCCUGUUCCCCUUCCCCAUGCCCCGGGGUGGGGCCCAGGCCUCUAGCGAGGAGAGUGAGGAGGAAGGGACAUCUGAUGACCUCCACCUCCCCCCUGACUGCCAUUAUGCAACCCGACCCCCGAGGCCACAGGCGUUCUGCACCUUUGGGAGUCGGCUGGUGAGCCCAGGAUGCUAUGUAUUUAGUCGCCGGCUGGACCGGUUCUGCUCGGCACUCAGCUCCAUGCUGGAGCGGCACCUCAGCUCACACAUGUGGAAGAAGAUUCCACCGGCGACCGAACCUCCAUCUCACCUUGUCAACUCCCCCUUAUCUGCUCCCCUGAGCCCAUCCUCUACAGGCAGCUGCCCCCGCCUUCCAGGUCCACCCCCAAGACCUGCCUGCCCAGCCUCCACGCCCCCUACCAAGGACAGCCUUGUCCCCAGCUACACUGCAGGCUCCCCCAGUGUGGCGGCCGCCUGUAGCCAGGCAGAGUGCAUGGGCGGGAGCCAGGCUAUCACCUCACCACUGCCUGCCAACACGCCGUCCCCGUCCUUCAGCAAGCUGCCGCCUUCCAAGGCCAGCAAGUCAUCCAAAGGCAAGGACGGGGUGGAGAUGGAGGCCCCUUCUCGAAAGCGGAAGUUAUCCCCUGGCCCCACCACUUUUAAACGGACCUGCAUCCUGGAGCCCACUGGAAAAGGCAAACCCUCUGGCUGCCGGGGCCUCUCGGCCAAGACUAAAACAGCCCUGAGCAUGGGGCUUAAUGGGACAAUGGGGCCAAGAGUGAAGCGGGCAGGGCCCCUGGACUGUCGUGGCUCCCCUCAUCAGCUCCCCACACCAGUCAAGGCUUCUCAGCUGGAGAACCGGGGAGCAGCUGGACACCCAGGCAAGGCCCUGUCAACCAACUGCCUCUCUGAGGAGGAGGUGGCCAAGAAGCGGAAAAACCUGGCCACUUACUGCCGGCCGGUGAAGGCCAAGCACUGUCAGGCUGGUGCCCCUGCUGAUGUGGCCUGUUCUGUGCGCCGCAAGAAGCCAGGCCCGGCCCUGGCCUUUGAGGAGAAGUGCUCUACACUGAAGGUACUGGAGCUACCUCUGUUCCCCGAAGGAAAGGGAGUUUGAGUCCUUGGGUCACAGCCUAACAUGCCAAGCAGCAAGGUGGGUGGGCUGGUCUUGCUCACUGGUUUUUCCUCUGGGCAUCAGGGCCUUGAAGGGCAGGCACACAACCCCAUGCCCACUACUGCACGUGUGCCCACCUUGCACAUGUGCUCACCUCCAGCCAUGUGGGUGACAGACAGGUUCUCCAGGAUUACUAGUAAAGCCUGUAGCCAGUUUUAUUUGCCUGUUCUGGUGGGAUCCCUGGCGUAGCGUGCCAUGUGCUCUCCAUAUGAUCUCUGCCAGGAGGGACUUACUGGAGGUGGGAUGGGGUUGCUCUCCUGGGUUAGAUGUGGGCCCAUAAGCCGUGUAUGCUCUCCAACUUCACUACCCAAACUGGCUCUAGUGAGCUGGCAUUCAUCUUCCCUCUUGCUCAGUUUUACUCCCCAGGCCAGCAGAAGGAAAUCAAGAUUUAGCCCCUCUAGUCCACACAGUUCACCAGGAAGGACAGCAGGCAGGCCCCCACCCUGACCCUUUCUCUUGCCUCUUGUCUUCUUGCAGUCAAAAGCCCAUUAAUGAGAAAGUGCCUGCCCACUGCAACGGAGCCGCCAGCACCUCCUCCCCUCCAGAUCCGGGCCCCAGGCUGCUGCCGCUUUUUAUAACUUUAUAUUAUUUUUUUUAAGAAAAAAAUCUCUUUAAAAUACCUCAAGACUGUCUCCCUGUUCUGUUGCUGCUAUGAAAAUAUAAAAACACAAACAUAGAAAAGGAAGGAAAAAAAAUAACAAAAUGAGUGUCCUUACUGUCACCAGCCCUACCCUGUGUGGCUAAGAUAGGCAGCCAGACUCCAGCUCCCAUAGCUUGCCUGCAGAAGUCUCUUAUGCUCAUUAUUAUUAUUGUCAUCUUGUCAUUUUCAGUAGUGUGAAAAUGCGUGGAGUUUGUGUCACUGGGAGAGUGUUCUUUCCAGACAGGAUGAUGAGGUGUGUGGCUCUGAAUGGGCAAGGCUUCCUGAGUCUUGACCCCAGGGACGACUAUGGUCCCAUUGGUAAGAGAAACUUGAGAGGGAGAGCUGCACCUCUGGCUCUUCUCUAGGAUCCUUGCCCUGAGGGUCUGGGAAUUGGCUUGUGGAAUUGGUUGUGGACACCCUAGGUGUCCAUCCCUCCCUGAAUUAUUGCCUGUUUUUCUUCAGCUGUUCCUGCUUUUCCCACCUCUUACCAGCACUCUCAUUUUCUCAACCACUUAGGGAGCUUGAGCUGGGCUGGUCAUUGCUGUUGGAAGUUCCUGCUUUCUAUUGGACAGCCUUUCUUCCCGGCUGUGGGUUUGCCUUUAAGGAAGGGGUAGAACCUUUCCCAGGGAGGCCUCCUUGGGCCUGAACCACACCUUUUUAGGAAAGGAAAAGGCAUCAUCACUUGCAGAACUGGUGGUGUGGGAGGCCCUGGUCCCUCAGGAUCACCUGGCUCCUCAGGGCUGAGCAGCUGCUGAGGAGGCGGCAGGGCUGGGAGUGCCCUAGUUAUUCCAUUUAUCUCGAUGGGGACAACUGUGCAGAUAGGAGAUGAGACUUGCAUCUCCCUCCUUUGGUCAACCAGGUUCAAGGCACUAUAUUUUAGCCCUGUCCUUUCCUAUUUGCUUUCUUUUUAGGCAGGGAGGAAGCUUGUUCCCUGAACAAAAGGAGGCGGCAGGAGACAGUGCACAGACAGGGAAAUCCAAUACUACUAGAAAUCGGCUCCAAACACUGGUUUCACACUCUUGGUUCAGCAUACUAAACGUGUGAUUUGGGGUUUCACUGAAAUCGUUUGCUACAAAUGUAAUUUCCACAGGCUACUUGGGAUUUAGGUCCUUGUAGACAGACACACAGAUAAAAUUAAGGUGGGCCGGGAUCUGUCCGGUCCCCUUCUGCCUCCGGGCUCUCGCGGGAGCGGGCUUCUCCGGAGCACUCGCGCUUUCCCCCCAGCCCCCAGAGGGCGCUGUAGGCCACUCCGCCGCGCAGCCGGAGGCGUCCCCGGGGAGGAGCCUCUGCUGCAGCCGCCUCCGCCUCCGCGAUCGCAAACCCGGAAGACGUGCUCGGGCAGCUGGAGUGUGCGGGCCCGCCGGGCACGGCCAUGCAGCCCCUGGAGGUAGGUCUGGUUCCCGCUCCACCUGGGGAGCCGAGACUGACCCGCUGGCUGCGGCGAGGCAGUGGGAUCUUGGCGCACCUGGUAGCUUUGGGCUUCACCAUCUUUCUGACAGCGCUGUCCCGGCCAGGAACCAAAACAGGUCCCCUGAUGGAGGAUAGAAGUGAAGGAGGCCGGGCUCGGUGGGUCACGCCUGAAAUCUCAGCACUUUGGGAGGCCGACUCGGGUGGAUCACUUGAGGUCAGGAGUUCGAGACCAGCCUGGCCAACAUGGUGAAACCCGGUCUCUACUAA